AUCGAAUUAUGUAAAACAACUCAAACAGUGUGUCUUGAGGAAACUGGUGGCAAGGUUCACUUUACUAUUAGGGCCUUGUCUUCCUUGGCAAAAGAGUUCCCCAUCCGUUCUCAAGGAAUUCAUGGAGACUUGGUCCCCAAGUAUGGCAGAUAAUCUGCAAUAUAAAGAAGA